CCCGCGCGGCGUGGGGCCGGGCAUCACCUCCUGGGGAGAGAAAGGCUGCGAACUUGUGUGGGGAGAAGCCCUUCCCUCAGCUCCAUCUUUUCCAUCUGAGAAUGUCGCUUCAUUAAAGCCCAAACUUGCUGGCACCAUCCUGGCCUCUGCGCCCUCCCUGGUCUCUCGGUCACCUCCAUAAAGCUCGGCAAGUUGCGGACAGAAAAGGCCGGACUGCAGAGCGCGGCCUCGAGUGCCAUUCCUUAAGGUCUGCAUAGCUGGAAGAAGUUAUCUGUGUUGUUAACAGAGAAGACAACAUCACCCCUCUCAUGCCUCUGCGGAAUGUUGCUGGCGACUCAGUGCAGGAAAAGGAAGGCCCAUCAAUGAUUCACCAGAUGAAGAAGAGAAUUCAUACACUGUACAGCACUGCAUCAAUACUCGAUUGAGCGUUAGUUAAAUUACCUGAUAAAGGAAGAAAGGAGUAUUUUCCCGUACAACUCCUUUACAGAGUUUGCUGGUGCUGAGAGGGCCCUGUAACAGAUCCUUCAGGAAGGAAAAAGGAACAAAGGAAAGAGAAGACGUGACGAGUUUAUGUUGACUGCGAUCUUCUGGAGUUUCAUUAUUCAGCACAAACAGACUUAUUUCCACCUUUCUUAUUCUCUGCUAAAA